GUCUUGCGGGUUUUUCGUUUUGCGAGGCAUUCGUCUUGCGGGGCACCACUGUAAUUAUUUAUCUCUUUGACAUCUGAUGGGAGGGCGUUCCACAGGGCGGGCGCCACUACCGAGAAGGCCCUCUGUCUGGUUCCCUGUAGCCUCACUUCUCGCAAUGAGGGAACCGCCAGAAGGCCCUCGGUGCUGGAUCUCAGUGUCCGGGCUGAACGAUGGGGGUGGAGAC